rnacentral:rRNA from 1 species
UACGUAGGGUGCAAGCGUUGUCCGGAAUUAUUGGGCGUAAAGAGCUCGUAGGCGGUCUGUUGCGUCGGCUGUGAAAUCCCUGGGCUCAACCCAGGAACUGCGUCCGAUACUGGCAGGCUUGAAUUCGGGAGAGGGAUGUGGAAUUCCAGGUGUAGCGGUGAAAUGCGUAGAUAUCUGGAGGAACAUCGGUGGCGAAGGUGGCAUCCUGGACCGGUAUUGACGCUGAGGCGCGAAAGCCAGGGGAGCAAAGCGGG